CCUACGGGUGGCAGCAGUGAGGAAUAUUGGUCAAUGGACGAGAGUCUGAACCAGCCAAGCCGCGUGAAGGAUGACUGCUCUAUGAGUUGUAAACUUCUUUUAUAUGGGAAUAAAAUGCUCCACGUGUGGGGUUUUGUAUGUAUCAUACGAAUAAGGAUCGGCUAACUCCGUGCCAGCAGCCGCGGUAAUACGGAGGAUCCAAGCGUUAUCCGGAUUUAUUGGGUUUAAAGGGUGCGUAGGUGGAUUGAUAAGUUAGUUGUGAAAGUUUGCGGCUCAACCGCAAAAUUGCAGUUGAUACUGGCAGUCUUGAGUACAGUAGAGGUGGGCGGAAUGCGUGGUGUAGCGGUGAAAUGCAUAGAGAUCACGAAGAACUCCGAUUGCGAAGGCAGUUCACUGGACUGCAACUGACACUGAGGCUCGAAAGUGUGGGGAGCAAACAGGAUUAGAUACCCGAGUAGUC
rnacentral:rRNA from 1 species